rnacentral:rRNA from 1 species
UACGGAGGGUGCAAGCGUUAUCCGGAUUUAUUGGGUUUAAAGGGUCCGUAGGCGGAUCUGUAAGUCAGUGGUGAAAUCUCAUAGCUUAACUAUGAAACUGCCAUUGAUACUGCAGGUCGUUGAGUAAGGUAGAAGUAGCUGGAAUAAGUAGUGUAGCGGUGAAAUGCAUAGAUAUUACUUAGAACACCAAAUUGCGAAGGCAGGUUACUAUGUCUAACUGACGCUGAUGGACGAAAGCGUGGGGAGCGAACAGG